rnacentral:rRNA from 1 species
UAAGGAAUAUUGGUCAAUGGAGGCAACUCUGAACCAGCCAUGCCGCGUGCAGGACGACUGCCCUCUGGGUUGUAAACUGCUUUUAUACGGGAAUAACCCCAGUUACGUGUAACUGGCUGAAUGUACUGUAAGAAUAAGGAUCGGCUAACUCCGUGCCAGCAGCCGCGGUAAUACGGAGGAUCCAAGCGUUAUCCGGAUUUAUUGGGUUUAAAGGGUGCGUAGGCGGCCAAAUAAGUCAGAGGUGAAAGACGGUAGCUCAACUAUCGCAGUGCCUUUGAAACUGUUCGGCUUGAAUAUACUUGAGGUGGGCGGAAUGUGACAAGUAGCGGUGAAAUGCAUAGAUAUGUCACAGAACCCCGAUUGCGAAGGCAGCUCACUAAGGUAUUAUUGACGCUGAUGCACGAAAGCGUGGGGAUCAAACA